rnacentral:lncRNA from 1 species
AUGAAGAAAGAGUUCUGCGAGCCGGAGCCGGUGAAGAAGUCCAAGCUGCAGAAGACGAAGAAGAACUUGAAAACGGUCGUCAAGAAACUGAAACCAAAGGCCUUGAAAAAGUCUCUAGUCAGCAAGCAGAAAGCCUUGAAGAAAAAGUUGUCCAAGCCGAAGCCGAAAGCUGCGGCAGACGACGAGAGCGACAAAGCUGUGGCGAAGCGCACCAAGGCUCUAGCCCUGAACGGUGCCAGACGGCAUCGAGUGGCCUCCCUGAAUGCCAUCGCCAAAGUGCACUGUCUCUACGAGAACGAGUCCCGCGGGGCCCUGACGGAGCUCCACGAAGACCUCGUCCAGAUCACGGAGGAAGGCCGCGACCCAGAGCGCGUCUUCAAGAAGAUGACCCAGGUCUCGAAGCGGAUCCUCCGCUCCGCCCCGGGCAUCCGCUCCGUGGGCCAACACUGGGACAUGAACGGGAGCUCCUCGGACUCGGGUUCCUCGGAGGAAGACGACAAGAGCGAGUCGGAGAAGAGCGAAGAGGAGGACGAGCCACCGAAGCCGGUGAAGAAGCGACGGCGUCAGGCCGAGUGCAAGAUGGACCUGAAGGAUAUGGUCGUCCGCAAGCGGAUGGCCAGCCUCAACGCCUCGGCCAUCCUGGCGGCGAGCUACUCCGUGGAGAAGCGGACCUCCACGUCGACGGUGUCGGUUCGCGAGGCGUCGGCGACGGCGCCGGCCAGCAAGCGGAAAGGGCCCUCCUCGGCGGUGGCCGUCAAGGAAGCCACCCCGGCCAAGCGGAAGGUGGAGGUCAUCGUGACCCAGGACACGGACGUGACCAUCACCGGAGUCUACGUGGACUCGACAACGCGGAGUGCGCGCUCCGAGUACAGCAUGAAGUACCGCAUCUCCAGCACCAGCCAUACGCAGACGGAGGCUGUGUCAACGGAGACACUCAUCCACGCUGAGUGCGAUCGGCCAUCCUCGUCAGGAACACCGCCGACACUAGCGGAGCAUCCUCAUCCUCAUCCCCAUCCCCAUGCCCACGCCCACAGCCACCCUCACCUGCACCCACACCCGCACGCCCACCCCCACCCACACGCCCAUCCUCACCCUCACCCUCACCCACACCCACACCCUCACCCGCAUGUCCAUGCUCAUCCGCAUCAGCACGAGCACCCGCCGACGCAGCCUCAGCAGCAGCCCAAGACGUACACGCCGCUGAACGCGCUGUCGAGCAUGCAGCCGCCCGGGAACCCGGGUUCCACCACCGAGUCGCCGCCCGCCCCUCCGCCCCCGCCGGGCCCCGGCCACGCUUCCAUGCCGGCCAACAUCCCGCGCUGCAAUUCCGCCUUCUCCGCGCCACCCAACUUCCCCCCGACGCCUGUUCUCAACAAGGACUCAUCCUACAUUCACGGGUACUACCAACCUGCCGGACCGCUGAUUUCAUCUCACCACGUGCAUCACAGCCAGUCCGUCUCGAGCCUGACCCCAGACACGAAACACGUGCCCCUAGCCGAACAGACCCCACCUCCGACCCCCAGCAGAUCCACCUCGGACACGACCGAGUCGGAAGUCAUCAUCACCUCCUCCUCUUCCUCCUCAUGUCCCCUGGUCCGAGCCCCUGCUACCGGUACCCCCAUCCACAUCCCCCACAUCAGUCCCCCUAUCCAUACUCCUAUCCCCACUCGUUUUACCCCUCGCCUCCCGCCUCCUCAAAUCCCCACCAGUACCCCUCGCAAACACCCCUCGCCGCAUCCCCACUCGCCUCGCCCUACCACCCGGAGCUCUGCUACCCUCCCUCGACCUCACCCGCGCCCCACUACUUCCAUCCCCACAAAGGACCCUACGGUCCCCCCACCCCGGCGGCGAUCAGCUACCGGAGGUAUGUCACCCCCUCGCAAGUUCCUCCGCACCCGCAGGUUCCUCCUCACCCGUCUCAGGUUCCUCCCCAUCCGCAAUACUAUCAGGAACCCUAUCCAUCCUCGGUGUACUACACGUCGAGUCCGAGUAAUCCUCCGCCGGUGGGUCAGCAGCAGAUGUUGGUGCCGUCGGGGGCUCUGGAGAACUACGUGGCGCCCCCCGCGCCUCCGGCCACGCACGCCGCGGCCGACCCCUACGCUCAUCACGGCUACUACCCCCCGCACGGGUACAACGGCACGGUCAUCGCCCCACCUUGUUAUCCUCACCACCAUCCUACUAGGAGCUUAG